GAGUUUGAUCCUGGCUCAGGAUGAACGCUGGCGGAGUGCCUAAUACAUGCAAGUCGAGCGGCAGCGCGAGUAGUUUACUACUUGGCGGCGAGCGGCGGACGGCUGAGUAACGCGUGGGAACGUGCCCCAAAGUGAGGGAUAAGCUCCAGAAAUGGAGUCUAAUACCGCAUACGAUCUUCGGAUUAAAGCUUUCGAGCGCUUUGGGAGCGGCCCGCGUCCGAUUAGAUAGUUGGUGAGGUAAAGGCUCACCAAGUCGACGAUCGGUAACUGGUCUGAGAGGAUGAUCAGUCAGACUGGAACUGAGACACGGUCCAGACUCCUACGGGAGGCAGCAGUAAGGAAUCUUCCACAAUGGGGGCAACCCUGAUGGAGCAACUCCGCGUGCAGGAUGAAGGCCUUCGGGUCGUAAACUGCUUUUAUGAGUGAAGAAUAUGACGGUAACUCAUGAAUAAGGGUCGGCUAACUACGUG
rnacentral:rRNA from 1 species